CGUGCAGGCGGCUUGAUAAGUCCCGUGUGAAAGCCUACGGCUUAACUGUAGGAGGUCGCGGGAGACUGUCGGGCUCGAGGGCAGGAGAGGGAAGUAAAAUUCCCGGUGUAGCGGUGAAAUGCGUAGAUAUCGGGAGGAAUGCCAGUGGCGAAGGCGGCUUCCUGGCCUGCUUCUGACGCUGAGACGCGAAAGCUGGGGGAGCGAACGGGAUUAGAUACCCCGGUAGUCCCAGCCGUAAACGAUGGUCACUAGGUGUUGGGGGGUAAUCCCUCAGUGCCGAAGCUAACGCAUUAAGUGACCCGCCUGGGGAGUACGGCCGCAAGGUUGAA
rnacentral:rRNA from 1 species